AGAAGUGACCAGAAAACAAGAAUGUGAGCCUUCUGUUAUGCCCGGGCAGGACCACCAGAGGGCUCCUUGGUCUAGCGGUAAUGCCA
rnacentral:miRNA from 1 species